CUGGGGUUGAGGCUCAGUGGUAGAGUGCUCGCUUAGCAUGCGUGAGGCACUGGUUCAAUCCUCAGCACCACAUA
rnacentral:tRNA from 1 species